rnacentral:rRNA from 1 species
UCCUACGGGGGGCAGCAGUAGGGAAUCUUCCACAAUGGGCGAAAGCCUGAUGGAGCAACGCCGCGUGGGUGAAGAAGGUCUUCGGAUCGUAAAACCCUGUUGUUAGAGAAGAAAGUGCGUGAAAGUAACUGUUCACGUUUCGACGGUAUCUAACCAGAAAGCCACGGCUAACUACGUGCCAGCAGCCGCGGUAAUACGUAGGUGGCAAGCGUUAUCCGGAUUUAUUGGGCGUAAAGGGAACGCAGGCGGUCUUUUAAGUCUGAUGUGAAAGCCUUCGGCUUAACCGAAGUAGUGCAUUGGAAACU